GUGGGUAGUUUGACUGGGGCGGUCUCCUCCUAAAGAGUAACGGAGGAGCACGAAGGUUGGCUAAUCCUGGUCGGACAUCAGGAGGUUAGUGCAAUGGCAUAAGCCAGCUUGACUGCGAGCGUGACGGCGCGAGCAGGUGCGAAAGCAGGUCAUAGUGAUCCGGUGGUUCUGAAUGGAAGGGCCAUCGCUCAACGGAUAAAAGGUACUCCGGGGAUAACAGGCUGAUACCGCCCAAGAGUUCAUAUCGACGGCGGUGUUUGGCACCUCGAUGUCGGCUCAUCACAUCCUGGGGCUGAAGUAGGUCCCAAGGGUAUGGCUGUUCGCCAUUUAAAGUGGUACGCGAGCUGGGUUUAGAACGUCGUGAGACAGUUCGGUCCCUAUCUGCCGUGGGCGCUGGAGAACUGAGGGGGGCUGCUCCUAGUACGAGAGGACCGGAGUGGACGCAUCACUGGUGUUCGGGUUGUCAUGCCAAUGGCACUGCCCGGUAGCUAAAUGCGGAAGAGAUAAGUGCUGAAAGCAUCUAAGCACGAAACUUGCCCCGAGAUGAGUUCUCCCUGAGACUUUAGGUCUCCUGAAGGAACGUUGAAGACGA
rnacentral:rRNA from 2 species